UACGUAGGGGGCGAGCGUUGUCCGGAAUCAUUGGGCGUAAAGCGCGUGUAGGCGGCCCGGUAAGUCCGCUGUGAAAGUCCAGGGCUCAACCCUGGGAUGCCGGUGGAUACUGUCGGGCUCGAGUCCGGAAGAGGCGAGUGGAAUUCCUGGUGUAGCGGUGAAAUGCGCAGAUAUCAGGAGGAACAUCAAUGGCGAAGGCAGCUCGCUGGGACGUGACUGACGCUGAGACGCGAAAGCGUGGGGAGCAAACAGG
rnacentral:rRNA from 1 species